GAUGAACGCUGGCGGCGUGCCUAAUACAUGCAAGUCGAGCGAAUGGAUUAAGAGCUUGCUCUUAUGAAGUUAGCGGCGGACGGGUGAGUAACACGUGGGUAACCUGCCCAUAAGACUGGGAUAACUCCGGGAAACCGGGGCUAAUACCGGAUAAUAUUUUGAACUGCAUGUUUCAAAAUUGAAAGGCGGCUUCGGCUGUCAAUUAUGGAUGGACCGCCUUCGCAUUAGCUAGUUGGUGAGGUAACGGCUCACAAAGGCAACGAUGCGUAGCCGACCUGGGAGGGUGAUCGGCCACACUGGGACUGAGACACGGCCCAGACUCCUACGGGAGGCAGCAGUAGGGAAUCUUCCGCAAUGGACGAAAGUCUGACGGAGCAACGCCGCGUGAGUGAUGAAGGCUUUCGGGUCGUAAAACUCUGUUGUUAGGGAAGAACAAGUGCUAGUUGAAUAAGCUGGCACCUUGACGGUACCUAACCAGAAAGCCACGGCUAACUACGUGCCAGCAGCCGCAGUAA
rnacentral:rRNA from 1 species